rnacentral:rRNA from 1 species
GGAUCCAGACUUUGAUUAUGGCUCAUGAUGAACGCUAGCUACAGGCUUAACACAUGCAAGUCGAGGGGAAACGACAUCGAAAGCUUGCUUUUGAUGGGCGUCGACCGGCGCACGGGUGAGUAACGCGUAUCCAACCUGCCCAUCACUUGGGAAUAACCUUGCGAAAGUAAGACUAAUACCCAAUGAUAUCUCUAGAAGACAUCUGAAAGAGAUUAAAGAUUUAUCGGUGAUGGAUGGGGAUGCGUCUGAUUAGCUUGUUGGCGGGGUAACGGCCCACCAAGGCGACGAUCAGUAGGGGUUCUGAGAGGAAGGUCCCCCACAUUGGAACUGAGACACGGUCCAAACUCCUACGGGAGGCAGCAGUGAGGAAUAUUGGUCAAUGGACGAGAGUCUGAACCAGCCAAGUAGCGUGCAGGAUGACGGCCCUAUGGGUUGUAAACUGCUUUUAUAAGGGAAUAAAGUGAGCCUCGUGAGGCUUUUUGCAUGUACCUUAUGAAUAAGGACCGGCUAAUUCCGUGCCAGCAGCCGCGGUAAUACGGAAGGUCCGGGCGUUAUCCGGAUUUAUUGGGUUUAAAGGGAGCGUAGGCCGGAGAUUAAGCGUGUUGUGAAAUGUAGACGCUCAACGUCUGCACUGCAGCGCGAACUGGUUUCCUUGAGUACGCACAAAGUGGGCGGAAUUCGUGGUGUAGCGGUGAAAUGCUUAGAUAUCACGAAGAACUCCGAUUGCGAAGGCAGCUCACUGGAGCGCAACUGACGCUGAAGCUCGAAAGUGCGGGUAUCGAACAGGAUUAGAUACCCUGGUAGUCCGCACGGUAAACGAUGGAUGCCCGCUGUUGGUCUGAAUAGGUCAGCGGCCAAGCGAAAGCAUUAAGCAUCCCACCUGGGGAGUACGCCGGCAACGGUGCAACUCAAAGGAAUUGACGG